GGUCGAUUAGCUCAGUUGGUUAGAGCGUGGUGCUAAUAUCUCCAAAUGAUAACGCCAAGGCCAUGGGUUCGACCCCCAUAUUGACCA